rnacentral:rRNA from 1 species
GUUUGAUCAUGGCUCAGGAUGAACGCUGGCGGCGUGCCUAAUACAUGCAAGUCGAACGAGAACUAUCUUUCGAGAUGGGGAAAGUGGCGGACGGGUGAGUAACACGUAGAUGACCUGCCUCAGAGAAGGGGACAACCCGCCGAAAGGCGAGCUAAUACCCUAUAAGCUCACGAUGACUAGAAGAUUGUGAGAAAAGCUCCGACGCUCUGAGAGGGGUCUGCGGGCCAUCAGCUAGUUGGCGGGGUAACAGCCCACCAAGGCAUUGACGGCUAGGGGACCUGAGAGGGUGAUCCCCCACACGGGAACUGAGAAACGGUCCCGACUCCUACGGGAGGCAGCAGUAAGGGAUAUUGCACAAUGGGCGCAAGCCUGAUGCAGCAACGCCGCGUGCAUGAUGAAGGCCUUCGGGUCGUAAAAUGCUUUUCUGGCUGAAGAAGGGUCGCCUUCGGGCGGCUUUGACCGUAAGCCAGGAAUAAGUGUCGGCUAACUACGUGCCAGCAGCCGCGGUAAAACGUAGGACGCAAGCGUUAUCCGGAGUUACUGGGCGUAAAGCGCGGGCAGGCGGUUCUUUAAGUCUGAUGUGAAAUCUCCCGGCUCAACCGGGAGCAGCCAUUGGAAACUAGGGAACUGGAGGGCGAGAGAGGUAGGCGGAAUUCCGGGUGGAGUGGUGAAAUGCGUAGAGAUCCGGAGGAACACCAGAGGCGAAGGCGGCCUACUGGGUCGCACCUGACGCUGAGCCGCGAAAGCCAGGGGAGCGAACGGGAUUAGAAACCCCGGUAGUCCUGGCCGUAAACGAUGUGUGCUGGGUGGUGGGGGGUCUCCCCGCACUGCCGAAGCUAACGCGAUAAGCACACCGCCUGGGGAGUACGGUCGCAAGGCU